rnacentral:rRNA from 1 species
AGUAAUAGUUAUGUUCUUGAAACUCAAAAAAUUUGGCGGUAUUUUAGUCUAUUCAGAGGAACCUGUAAUAUAAUCGAUAUUCCACGAUGAAUCUUACUUAAUUUUGUAAUUUAAUUUGUAUAUCGCCGUUAUUAAAAAAUUUUAUAAGAAAAAUAAUUUUUUAAGAUUUUUAUAAAAAAAUAAAUCAGGUCAAGGUGCAGUUUAUAGUUAAGUUUUAUAUGGGUUACAUUAAAAUUAUUUAAAACGGAUUAAAAAAUGAAAUUUAUUUUUAUAAAGGUGGAUUUGAUAGUAAAUUUUUAAAGAUAAAAAAGUUGAUUUUAGCUCUAAAAUAUGUACACAUCGCCCGUCGCUCUUGUUAAUAAUAUAAGAUAAGUCGUAACAUAGUAGGUGUACUGGAAAGUGUACCUAGAAUAUCAAUUUAAAGCUUAUUAAGUAAAGUAUUUCAUUUACAUUGAAAAGAUUGUUGUGCAAAUCAAUAUAAAUUGAUAUUAAUUAAUUAUUAAUUUUUUUUAAAAAAAAAGUUAUUUUAUUAAAAAUAAUUAUAAAAUUUAUUUUGUUAAAGUAUUUUAUAUAGAAAUAAUAAUUUUAAUUAUAGUGUAUUAGUAACGUGAGUGAAAUU